GGCCCAGACUCCUACGGGAGGCAGCAGUGGGGAAUAUUGCACAAUGGGCGAAAGCCUGAUGCAGCAACGCCGCGUGAGGGAUGACGGCCUUUCGGGUUGUAAACCUCUUUUAGUAGGGAAGAAGGGAGCUUCGGUUCUUGACGGUACCUGCAGAAAAAGCACCGGCUAACUACGUGCCAGCAGCCGCGGUAAUACGUAGGGUGCAAGCGUUGUCCGGAAUUAUUGGGCGUAAAGAGCUCGUAGGCGGUUUGUCGCGUCUGCUGUGAAAUCCCGAGGCUCAACCUCGGGCUUGCAGUGGGUACGGGCAGACUAGAGUGCGGUAGGGGAGAUUGGAAUUCCUGGUGUAGCGGUGGAAUGCGCAGAUAUCAGGAGGAACACCGAUGGCGAAGGCAGAUCUCUGGGCCGUAACUGACGCUGAGGAGCGAAAGCAUGGGGAGCGAACAGGAUUAGAUACCCUGGUAGUCCAUGCCGUAAACGUUGGGCGCUAGAUGUAGGGACCUUUCCACGGUUUCUGUGUCGUAGCUAACGCAUUAAGCGCCCCGCCUGGGGAGUACGGCCGCAAGGCUAAAACUCAAAGGAAUUGACGGGGGCCCGCACAAGCGGCGGAGCAUGCGGAUUAAUUCGAUGCAACGCGAAGAACCUUACCAAGGCUUGACAUACACCGGAAACGGCCAGAGAUGGUCGCCCCCUUGUGGUCGGUGUACAGGUGGUGCAUGGUUGUCGUCAGCUCGUGUCGUGAGAUGUUGGGUUAAGUCCCGCAACGAGCGCAACCCUCGUUCUAUGUUGCCAGCGGGUUAUGCCGGGGACUCAUAGGAGACUGCCGGGGUCAACUCGGAGGAAGGUGGGGAUGACGUCAAAUCAUCAUGCCCCUUAUGUCUUGGGCUUCACGCAUGCUACAAUGGCCGGUACAAAGGGCUGCGAUACCGUAAGGUGGAGCGAAUCCCAAAAAGCCGGUCUCAGUUCGGAUUGAGGUCUGCAACUCGACCUCAUGAAGUCGGAGUCGCUAGUAAUCGCAGAUCAGCAACG
rnacentral:rRNA from 1 species